AACAAGUCUGGCAGCAUCCAUGGAGAGAGAAACAGAGUUAACAUUUUGAGUCAAAUAUCACUCUUCUUCAGAGUUCUGAAAAGUUAUAUUCUUCCUAGUGUAAGUUGGGUGAAUAUUAGAAUGGAGUGUGGGUCUGAUGGUUGGCCAGCUCAAAGAAAGGGGGUCUUGCAAUCGCUCAUCACCAUUUCACGUCUUUCUGAAGCGGCAGGACACGGGGAGCUUCCAGCGAGAGGAAUGUAUCGAGGUGUUUGUUCGUGCAAAAGAGUGAUCGUUGCUUGAGGCUCCUGUUGCGGUGUGUGAGUGGCCGUAGGGAGAGGCAUCCCCAGCCAUAUCUUUUUCACUUGUGUGGUGUCAUUUCAUAGUCGUGGAGCGACUGGACAAUUCCGCCGCAGUUCGCAACCCCGAAGCAGGUUGCUGGGCUUGUGGAGGCCUGAGCCUGGUUGGCUGGUGUUCAGAUCUAUCGCCAAAGAGAAGAAUGUGAGAGGUUGUUAACGUACGGUGAUGACUCCCUCUAAUUGGAAUGGGUAACCAUGAAUAUGUUACUGAAGGACCUGUUUACAGUUUUCCUCAAAGUAUUGACAGAGAAAGUCUCCAAGCGACACACCACCUUACAUCACCGCUGUACAAAGCCACCAAGGGGAAGAAAGGAAAGAAGAUCUGUGUUUGUAUAACACACCUUACCACAUAGGAAUUGCUUAUCGAGAAAAGACAAAGCUGAAACUUACCCGACAAACUUGAGAAGUGAAAUCUCGAAUUUAAAAAGGAAUGAAGCUCCAAGGGAACUGCUGAGGACACAGCUAUACGUAUCCUUAAGUUGAUAUUUAUAGAGAUGUGAUCUUGUUGGCUUCAGACGUUUUCUUGCGCAGCACUAACAAUUUGGAUUUUACCUGAGCUGAAUUUUUAAAUUUUAUAAUACUCCUGUCGUGUUAACACCCGCAUUUUUCUCAGUGUGUGAUAUUUCCGUAUCUGGAAUACUGAACGAGUGUUGUUUUUAUGAUCUCCAGGUUAUUCUAUCAUUUAACUAGAUCCUGGGUAAGUGAAAGGUGCGCUUCUGAUCAUAGGGAACGUGAGGUCUCCAGAAAGUGUCUUGCCCCAAAACCUGGAAAUUGUGACUUUUUGCUCCGAUGCUGUUUUGGUUAUGUAAUCUCAAACUGACCCCAAUGUAGCUUUCCUGAACUUGCAUCUGCUGAAGAAUGUUGAAAAGAAUGAGGAGAAAGAACUAAAUCGAAACUUGUACUUGGGUGGAUAAUAAGUGUUUACAUCGCCAAUGAUUGGUUGAAGGUGGAUCGUGUCUCGAUCGUAUGGAUGUCUCCAACCUGUCUAAGCUCUAGUAACCCCCCUGUUAAACCUCUUCUCCUCCCAACCUCUCUGUCCGCAGUUUAAUACCUACCUCUUUGACCUAACUUGUAAACCUUUGCUCACCUUUCUCGGUGUCAGAUUUUAGUUCAGUAAAGCUCCUGUGAAGCACUAUGGGGCUUCUCACUAUGUUAAAGUUGUUUAUAAAUGCAAGUUGUAUCUGAAGAAUGGUCUUAAGGAGGACCAGCGGAGCAGGAGCAGUAAAGAAAGGACCAGACAACUUAAAACUCUCGUGAUCACCUGUCCUCAAAAGGAUUUAUGUAAUUAUCAUUGCCAGUUGUAUUUACUGUCUGGCUACUAUGUGUAACCAGUUGUAAUUGCCUAUUAAAAUUACUGAUCGCAAA